rnacentral:ncRNA from 2 species
GGAAGCCGGUGAAAGUCCGGCGCGGUCGCGCCACUGUGACCAGCGUGUCGAAAAUCUUCGCGUUGGAAGUCAGAC